rnacentral:rRNA from 1 species
UAGGGAAUCUUCCGCAAUGGGCGAAAGCUUGACGGAGCAACGCCGCGUGAGUGAUGAAGGUCUUCGGAUCGUAAAACUCUGUUAUUAGGGAAGAACAAAUGUGUAAGUAACUAUGCACGUCUUGACGGUACCUAAUCAGAAAGCCACGGCUAACUACGUGCCAGCAGCCGCGGUAAUACGUAGGUGGCAAGCGUUAUCCGGAAUUAUUGGGCGUAAAGCGCGCGUAGGCGGUUUUUUAAGUCUGAUGUGAAAGCCCACGGCUCAACCGUGGAGGGUCCUUGGAAACUGGAAAACUUGAGUGCAGAAGAGGAAAGUGGAAUUCCAUGUGUAGCGGUGAAAUGCGCAGAGAUAUGGAGGAACACCAGUGGCGAAGGCGACUUUCUGGUCUGUAACUGACGCUGAUGUGCGAAAGCGUGAGGAUCAAACAGG